rnacentral:rRNA from 1 species
AACGCUAGCUACAGGCUUAACACAUGCAAGUCGAGGGGAAACGAUAUUGGAAGCUUGCUUCCGAUAGGCGUCGACCGGCGCACGGGUGAGUAACGCGUAUCCAACCUGCCCGCCACUUGGGGAUAACCUUGCGAAAGUAAGACUAAUACCCAAUGACGUCUCUAGAAGACAUCUGAAAGAGAUUAAAGAUUUAUCGGUGAUGGAUGGGGAUGCGUCUGAUUAGCUUGUUGGCGGGGUAACGGCCCACCAAGGCGACGAUCAGUAGGGGUUCUGAGAGGAAGGUCCCCCACAUUGGAACUGAGACACGGUCCAAACUCCUACGGGAGGCAGCAGUGAGGAAUAUUGGUCAAUGGACGAGAGUCCGGACCAGCCAAGUAGCGUGCAGGAUGACGGCCCUAUGGGUUGUAAACUGCUUUUAUAAGGGAAUAAAGUGAGUCUCGUGAGACUUUUUGCAUGUACCUUAUGAAUAAGGACCGGCUAAUUCCGUGCCAGCAGCCGCGGUAAUACGGAAGGUCCGGGCGUUAUCCGGAUUUAUUGGGUUUAAAGGGAGCGUAGGCCGGAGAUUAAGCGUGUUGUGAAAUGUAGACGCUCAACGUCUGCACUGCAGCGCGAACUGGUUUCCUUGAGUACGCACAAAGUGGGCGGAAUUCGUGGUGUAGCGGUGAAAUGCUUAGAUAUCACGAAGAACUCCGAUUG